rnacentral:rRNA from 1 species
AUUGAACGCUGGCGGCAGGCCUAACACAUGCAAGUCGAGCGGAGCGGCGGACGGGUGAGUCAUGCCUAGGAAUCUGCCUGGUAGUGGGGGAUAACGUCCGGAAACGGGCGCUCAUACCGCAUACUAUCAGAUGAGCCUAGGUCGGGUUAGCUAGUUGGUGGGGUAAAGGCCUACCAAGGCGACGAUCCGUAACUGGUCUGAGAGGAUGAUCAGUCAAAGUGGAAAUGAGAAACGGUCCAGACUCCUAAGGGAGGCAGCAGUGGGGAAUAUUGGACAAUGGGGGAAAGCCUGACCAAGCCAUGGCGCGUGUGUGAAGAAGGUCUUCGGAUUGUAAAGAACUUUAAGUUGGGAGGCGUUACAAACAGAAUAAGCACCGGCUAACUUCGUGCCAGCAGCCGCGGUAAUUC